AACGAACGCUGGCGGCAUGCCUAACACAUGCAAGUCGAACGAGACCUUCGGGUCUAGUGGCGCACGGGUGCGUAACGCGUGGGAACCUGCCCUUAGGUUCGGAAUAACUCACCGAAAGGGGUGCUAAUACCGGAUAAUGUCUUCGGACCAAAGAUUUAUCGCCUUUGGAUGGGCCCGCGUUGGAUUAGCUAGUUGGUAGGGUAAAAGCCUACCAAGGCGACGAUCCAUAGCUGGUCUGAGAGGAUGAUCAGCCACACUGGGACUGAGACACGGCCCAGACUCCUACGGGAGGCAGCAGUGUGGAAUAUUGGACAAUGGGCGAAAGCCUGAUCCAGCAAUGCCGCGUGAGUGAUGAAGGCCUUAGGGUUGUAAAGCUCUUUUACCCGGGAUGAUAAUGACAGUACCGGGAGAAUAAGCUCCGGCUAACUCCGUG
rnacentral:rRNA from 1 species